UACAGAGGGGGCAAGCGUUGUCCGGAAUCAUUGGGCGUAAAGCGUGCGCAGGCGGUUCGCUGUGUCCGAUGUGAAAGCCCCGGGCUCAACCUGGGAAUGGCAUGGGAAACUGGCGGGCUGGAGUGUGGCAGAGGGGGGUGGAAUUCCGCGUGUAGCAGUGAAAUGCGUAGAGAUGCGGAGGAACACCGAUGGCGAAGGCAGCCCCCUGGGCCAACACUGACGCUCAGGCACGAAAGCGUGGGGAGCAAACAGG
rnacentral:rRNA from 1 species